GUACUGACAUUUAUAGGUCACAAAGAACCCACAAAAAAAACAUUCAAAGACAUACAAAGGGGUAUAUGAAGACAUAGACUAUGAAAAUGCAAGGGAAGCUGAAUCGCAACCCGCAAUCCGAGAUUUUCACUCGAGAGGUAUUCAUAGUCUAGCUAAAGGUGCACAAGAGAAAAUGAAUAUGAACGAGCGUGCACAUGCUCCUAAGAGCCAGCGACAACCCGAAUCAACUUCAAUAAUGAUCCUUCCGCAGGUUCACCUACGGAAA
rnacentral:misc_RNA from 1 species